GAUGAACGCUGGCGGCGUGCCUAAUACAUGCAAGUCGAGCGAACGGACGAGAAGCUUGCUUCUCUGAUGUUAGCGGCGGACGGGUGAGUAACACGUGGAUAACCUACCUAUAAGACUGGGAUAACUUCGGGAAACCGGAGCUAAUACCGGAUGAUCUUUUGAACCGCAUGGUUCAAAAGUGAAAGACGGUCUUGCUGUCACUUAUAGAUGGAUCCGCGCUGCAUUAGCUAGUUGGUAAGGUAACGGCUUACCAAGGCAACGAUGCAUAGCCGACCUGAGAGGGGGAUCGGCCACACUGGAACGGAGACACGGUCCAGAGGCCUAAGGGAGGCAGCAGUAGGGAAUCUUACGCAAUGGGGGAAAGCCUGACGGAGCAACGCCGCGUGAGUGAUGAAGGUCUUCGGAUCGUAAAACUCUGUUAUUAGGGAAGAACAGAUGUGGAAGUAACUGUGCACAUCGUGACGGUACCUAAUCAGAAAGCCACGGCUAACUACGUG
rnacentral:rRNA from 1 species